rnacentral:rRNA from 1 species
CCUACGGGUGGCAGCAGUGGGGGAUAUUGCACAAUGGGGGAAACCCUGAUGCAGCGACGCCGCGUGGGUGAAGAAGUAUUUCGGUAUGUAAAGCCCUAUCAGCAGGGAAGAAAGAAGACGGUACCUGACUAAGAAGCCCCGGCUAACUACGUGCCAGCAGCCGCGGUAAUACGUAGGGGGAGAGCGUUAUCCGGAUUCACUGGGUGUAAAGGGAGCGUAGACGGCCGUGCAAGCCAGGAGUGAAAGCCCGGGGCCCAACCCCGGGACGGCUCUUGAAACUGUGCGGCUGGAGUGCGGGAGGGGGAGGCGGAAUUCCUGGUGUAGCGGUGAAAUGCGUAGAUAUCAGGAGGAACACCGGCGGCGAAGGCGGCGUACUGGACCGCGACUGACGUUGAGGCUCGAAAGCGUGGGGAGCGAACAGGAUUAGAUACCCUGGUAGUC